rnacentral:rRNA from 1 species
UACGUAGGUCCCGAGCGUUGUCCGGAUUUAUUGGGCGUAAAGCGAGCGCAGGUGGUUUAUUAAGUCUGGUGUAAAAGGCAGUGGUUCAACCAUUGUAUGCAUUGGAAACUGGUAGACUUGAGUGCAGGAGAGGAGAGUGGAAUUCCAUGUGUAGCGGCGAAGUGCGUAGAUAUAUGGGGGAACACCGGUGGCGAAAGCGGCUCUCUGGCCUGUAACUGACACUGAGGCUCGAAAGCGUGGGGAGCAAACAGG